GGUGAAUCUUGUUCAGUAGGGUUAUAGGUUGGACUUGGUGAUCCUGAGGGUCUGUGAGGGAAGAAAACCAUGAAAGGGGGGAAAAGGAUGAAAAUAAAGAACAAAGAAAGGGGAAAAAAAGAAAGUGGAAUAAAGAAACAGAAAGAAGAAGAGAAAAGAGGAAGAAGAAGGAAAGUGAUGAGAUUCUGAGAAAAACUCUUCAGUGUUCCUGUUGUCCCAGGCAGUUGCUUAUGAAAAGGAGGUUGGACUCAAGACUCGAUGUGGGAAUCUUAUUCAAGCCCUGGUUAAGUGCCAGAAAGUGUUGGGAAGCAAGACUCUCCAGAAGAAAAAAGUAUCACCCUGAUUAAAACCUGAUUUGACUGAAUUCGCUUUAUGCAAAGGGUUACCAGAAUAAACAAGAAGAACAGGAAGAUGCCAUGCUCUGAGCUGAACUCUGAUACUGAGCCACAAGGGUCAAGAGGAAGAGGAGAAAGCCUCAAACUGGGAAUGAUUAGAAGAUGCAGUCCUGAUGGGUACACAAGUCCAAUGGCUGCCAAAAAAAACUGAUAGCACAUGGAAGAGUUCAUCUCAGCUAGUUGAGACCCAAGCAUAAGGAAAAACCAAGAGUGUCAGCCUUGGAGGUGAAAACAACUUACUCUGGCUAUUAAAAAUGGUGAGAGCUGCCAAAUGAACCAGAGGCGUCAAGAGUGACCAGAGGGACGUCGACAUGCAACGUUUGGAUAGGCUGCAGUGGAUAUGUCAGAUUCUCCUCUCUCUUCUUUUGAGACUCUUGGGAUGGAUCAGCGAGCUGCUGAUGGUUUCCCAGGGAGGAGGAGAGGAGCAACACCUCAGCCCAUUCUCCCGUGACUCCCAGCCUUGCUUGCUGACCUCAGAAGCGCCACGCUCCUUUACCGUGGCAGCCCAGCCACAGUUCCCCAGGUCUGGAUCUUACCAUCCAUCACAGCAGCUCUGGUUCCAGCGCUUGCUAAAU